UAGUGAGUUUGAUCCUGGCUCAGGGUGAACGCUGGCGGCGUGCCUAAGACAUGCAAGUCGAACGCAGUAGCUUGCUACUGAGUGGCGCACGGGUGAGUAACACGUAACUGACCUACCCCGUAGUCCCGCACAACGGUCCGAAAGGACCGCUAAUUCGGGAUGUGAACCCGCACCGUGGUGCGUGUUUAAAGAUUCAUCGCUUCGGGAUGGGGUUGCGGCGCAUCAGCUUGUUGGUGAGGUAAAGGCUCACCAAGGCAACGACGCGUAACCGGCCUGAGAGGGUGGUCGGUCACAGGGGCACUGAGACACGGGGUCCCACUCCUACGGGGAGGCAGCAGUGGGGAAUUUUCCGCAAUGGGCGCAAGCCUGACGGAGCAAGACCGCGUGAGGGGAAG
rnacentral:rRNA from 1 species